UUUGCAAUAAAUAAGAGUUCCAUAUCACUAGUAUUUAUUAUAAUUUAAUGUUUCCCUAUUAUGUUCAUGAAUUGUAUUAUUCUCCUCUGCUGUUGUUUCCUUAAAUAAACAUAGUUUAUUGGAUUAAGAGGUCAUGGUAGGAAGAAAUGCUAUUGACUUUACCUAAAGUCAUUAGAGCAUCUUUAAAAGCAAGCUCAUGGUAGGUCCCCUGUUCUUAUACAUGAGGUCGAAGGCAUUCAUUUUGUUUAUUUUUAACGGGGUGCUUAAAGAAUUAGCUAAGUUUUCAGGAUAAAAUGGAAAACCAGAUCAACCAGAACAACUAGUCCUUGGGUGAAUGGGCUACACCUAUCGCCAUUGUAUUGGAAGCACCCUUUUAUUGAUAUUUAUAUGGUAUAUAAGUCUUUGAAAUCGUGCUUAAAGACACAAGUUAAUUUGGUGCAAAAGCAGUCACAGAUGGACUUAAUUAGAAGUUCUGAAUAUAAAUUUAUUAAAUAAAAUGGAUUUAUGUAUGCUUUAUGAACCUUGGAAAUAUGAAAUGUAUUGAAUGAAGAAGUACUGACAUUGUUUGGAUAUUAAAAACUUUAAUUGACAAUAAGAUACAAAGUAACAAGUUGAGUCUGUUUUGGUUAAGUUUUUCUUAACCUUAAGUAAAGAAAAGACUAGCAAGUAUUGAUGUUGGCGUUCCGCAGAUCCUAGGCGAAUCCAGGUACGCACUUUCGUGAGGGACAGCAGGCAUCAUUCCGAAGCCUCUCGUCGCAAGUUCGUCGGCAGCAUCUUUGCCGAGAUCCACUGUGUCUCUUUCUACUCUGUUGCUUAGAGUGACACAUUGACAUUGAACAAUCGAGUUGUGCCUAGAUAGGGAUAUUGGAUUGUUGAGAUCGAGAGAGAAUAUGCCAGCGUCGGAGUCACACCCUGUUUUUGAGCCAUCAUAUUGGGUUGGGGAAAAAGUUUCUAAGAAAAUUCACA